GGUGAACGCUAGCGGGAGGCUUAACACAUGCAAGUCGAGGGGUAGGGAAGCAAUUCCUGAGACCGGCGGACGGGUGCGUAACGCGUAUGCAACCUGCCUUAUACAGGGGGAUAGCCCAUGGAAACGUGGAUUAACACCCCAUAGGAUUACGGGAUCGCAGGAUUGUGUGAUUAAAACUGAGGUGGUAUAAGAUGGGCAUGCGUCUGAUUAGGUAGUUGGUAGGGUAAUGGCCUACCAAGCCGACGAUCAGUAGGGGUUCUGAGAGGAUUACCCCCCACACUGGUACUGGGACACGGACCAGACUCCUACGGGAGGCAGCAGUGAGGAAUAUUGGUCAAUGGCCGGAAGGCUGAACCAGCCAUCCCGCGUGCAGGAUGACGGCCCUAUGGGUUGUAAACUGCUUUUGUACCUGAAGAAUAGGCCCAACGAGUUGGGAUUUGCCGGUAAGGUAUGAAUAAGCAUCGGCUAACUCCGUGCCAGCAGCCGCGGUAA
rnacentral:rRNA from 1 species